rnacentral:rRNA from 1 species
GACGAACGCUGGCGGCGUGCCUAAUACAUGCAAGUUGAGCGAUGAAGAUUGGUUCUUGCACCCAUUUGAAGAGCAGCGAACGGGUGAGUAACGCGUGGGGAAUCUGCCUUUGAGCGGGGGACAACAUUUGGAAACGAAUGCUAAUACCGCAUAACAACUUUAAACAUAAGUUUUAUGUUUGAAAGAUGCAAUUGCAUCACUCAAAGAUGAUCCCGCGUUGUAUUAGCUAGUUGGUGAGGUAAAGGCUCACCAAGGCGAUGCUACAUAGCCGACCUGAGAGGGUGAUCGGCCACAUUGGGACUGAGACACGGCCCAAACUCCUACGGGAGGCAGCAGUAGGGAAUCUUCGGCAAUGGACGAAAGUCUGACCGAGCAACGCGGCGUGAGUGAAGAGGGUUGUCGGAUCGUAAAACUCUGUUGGUAGAGAAGAACGUUGGUGAGAGUGGAAAGCUCAUCAAGUGACGGUAACUACCCAGAAAGGGACGGCUAACUACGUG